rnacentral:rRNA from 2 species
AAAUUGAAGAGUUUGAUCAUGGCUCAGAUUGAACGCUGGCGGCAGGCCUAACACAUGCAAGUCGAACGGUAACAGGAAACAGCUUGCUGUUUCGCUGACGAGUGGCGGACGGGUGAGUAAUGUCUGGGAAACUGCCUGAUGGAGGGGGAUAACUACUGGAAACGGUAGCUAAUACCGCAUAAUGUCGCAAGACUAAAGAGGGGGAC